CUACCCCUUUUAAGAGAAGCAAAAUGCCAUUGCAUCAGGACUUCAACAUGGGAUUCCCUAAAGCACAUGAAGGUCUUGACAGAAGCAGCUUAGGAUUCGUGCAGAGGCACACAUGGACACCCAGUCCAGUGAACCAUGUCAUGGUAGGCAGGGAAAUGACUCUUACCUAACUGAGUACUCUGGUAACACUAUACCUUAAGAGAAAGGUCAGCAAGGGUAUAUAAAAGCUGCAGCACCCUCUCUUGACUGAAAAUUUUAUCUAAGAGUUAUUUGUGGUCAGUGAUAUUUUAUACAGUGUUUGUACCACACCAGCAUGGAUCAUCAUUAAAUUAUAGAGAUGUAGCUCCUUGGAGAUCUGUUGCGUAGUGACAAACACUAAUCUAGAGCAGCAUGACGUGGAUACAUGGAUGAUGGGCAUGUAUAACUGCAUGGAUGAUGAGGCAUAGGGACAGACAUCCUUCCAUACUCAACAGGGUUCUUGCAUUUCCCUAGCAUGGUCUGCAUCAUAAAAGAAAACUAUUGAUGGUUGACCUCUGCAGGUUGCUCAUGCAAGUGAAUCUUUCUGCACCAAAUCAAGCAUUAAAAAAUCUCACAGGACCAGUGCAAUCAGAGGCUUGCAGGACACACUUGGAAUAUUUUCUUAGUCCUUAUUUCUCUUGUUUUGGUAUUCAGUACAAGUUCACUAGAUCAUCAUCCUGCAAAUUCUCUGGGAAGGGUUUGAAUCACAGGAAGGGAAUAACCUGAGGGAUCAAGCAGUGGAAGCUUGAGAUGAACUACUACAUGGGGACAUCACGAGGCACAGCAAAGAACAAAGUUUCCACCUGAGGGAUGAAUGAAAUGAAAUCCUCUCUUCACACCACAGUAAUGAGUGCUGAGGCUUCAGUGGUAGCAGUGGUUGCACAGCAAUAAGUCUCGGAUCGAGAAGCAGAGACAUGCACUUGGCAAGUCUUGUGUGGUGGAGAUAAGGGGAAGCACUCUGUCGUCGGCUUUUGCAGGUACAGAUGCCGUCAAAUUCCGUGAACGAACGCCGACAGUUUCGUCACAACCAUUCGUCACCUAAAACAAUAGCAGGAAGCCGUAUGGCCGUCAGAUUCUUUCUUCCAUGAGCAGUUGGCCGCUAUCUUUGACAGUCUUCAAGGCAGAUGCCGAUGGCUUCCUCUUAUGAGACGCCCUCACUCAUCUAUACGUAUGUCUAUAUGUUAUACGCCUAACAUGACAUGUGGAUAAUAGGCGCCACAUCAAUUCCGUGUCAUUGACCACAUCACCAUUGAAUCUCCAAGAGUUUCAACUUUAGCGUCGGAGAGACUUGGUCAUGCAUCCUACUCGACUCUAAUCUUUGUACGAAUCGAUAUCUUGGCGUAUACUCAAGUGAUCAUCUCGGACGCCUCAAACUUUAUUCAUCAGUAUUAGUUCUUACAAGAUAGAUGUGUAAACUAGAUCUCCGUCCGAUACGACCAUAUCAGUGAUGUGCUCCUAGUAGUGUUUCCAUUAGAAGAAGAGAUUAAGACAAGACAAAUAGGCAUAUCAGCAUAUCAAGUACGAAGUGAUCAUUGAUCAAACACAUGAGGAAGAAAAUAACAAAUAUGGUGUCCACCUUCUUGUCUG